CUCCAAAGACAGGCCAGCAGUGGGACUUCCCCAGUGCCUGGGUGCCCUUGCAGGACUUGGUCAUCAGAGGUCUGGCCAAGUCUCCUUCACCUCGGGCCCAGGAAGUGGCUUUCCAGCUGGCUCAGAAUUGGAUCCGAACCAACUUUGAGGUCUACUCCCAAAAGUCAGCCAUGUUUGAGAAGUAUGACAUCAGCAACGGUGGGCAGCCAGGUGGAGGAGGGGAGUAUGAAGUUCAGGAGGGCUUUGGCUGGACCAAUGGAGUGGUCCUGAUGCUCCUGGACCGCUACGGUGACCGGCUGACCUCGGGGACCCAGACAGCUUUCCUGGAGCCCCACUGCCUCACAGCUGCCCUCCUGCUCAGCCUCCUGCCCAGCCUCCUGCCAUGGUGAUGGGCCUCCCUGCCCCGUCUGCCUCAUUAAACUUCUGUGUGAGUCCCUA